rnacentral:rRNA from 1 species
UGUGCCAGCAGCCGCGGUAAUACGGGGGGGGCAAGCGUUGUUCGGAAUUACUGGGCGUAAAGGGCUCGUAGGCGGCCAACUAAGUCAGACGUGAAAUCCCCAGGCUCAACCUGGGAACUGCGUCUGAUACUGGUUGGCUUGAGUCCGGGAGAGGGAUGCAGAAUUCCAGGUGUAGCGGUGAAAUGCGUAGAUAUCUGGAGGAAUACCGGUGGCGAAGGC